AGUGAACGCUGGCGGUAGGCCUAACACAUGCAAGUCGAACGGCAGCACAGUAAGAGCUUGCUCUUACGGGUGGCGAGUGGCGGACGGGUGAGGAAUACAUCGGAAUCUACUUUUUCGUGGGGGAUAAUGUAGGGAAACUUACGCUAAUACCGCAUACGACCUACGGGUGAAAGCAGGGGAUCUUCGGACCUUGCGCGAUUGAAUGAGCCGAUGUCGGAUUAGCUAGUUGGCGGGGUAAAGGCCCACCAAGGCGACGAUCCGUAGCUGGUCUGAGAGGAUGAUCAGCCACACUGGAACUGAGACACGGUCCAGACUCCUACGGGAGGCAGCAGUGGGGAAUAUUGGACAAUGGGCGCAAGCCUGAUCCAGCCAUACCGCGUGGGUGAAGAAGGCCUUCGGGUUAUAAAGCCCUUUUGUUGGGAAAGAAAAGCAGCAGGUUAAUACCCCGCUGUUCUGACGGUACCCAAAGAAUAAGCACCGGCUAACUUCGUG
rnacentral:rRNA from 1 species